UCCUUGGCAGUCCAGUGGUUAAGACUCCGCACUGCCAAUGCAGAGGGCACAGGUUCGAUCCCUGGUCCGGGGAA